CCCCAUUCCCCAUUUUAUUUCACGAAAGUUUUUCUUCUCAUUUGUUUGUGUCCUUUCUUGCUCUCCCAAAUCCCUCCCACUUGCUUUUGAUCUUCAAUUCCUAAUUCUCUUUGAAUUAUAUCACCCUUGAGCCUUAAACCUCCAUUAUAACUAAGAAAAUCACCCAAGAAUUCCACAAUCUUCAUCAUCUUCUCCAAAAUGUGAGUUUUUCCAAGUUUGAAUCAAAGCUUGAUUUUUUUGCAUUCAAGUGUCGGAGUCUAUAUGACCUUCAACGAGCAAAGAGAAGGGCAAAGAGAAGCUUGUCAAAGCUUUCAAUUUUUUGGCAAAAACGAAUAUUUCGAGUAGUUGCGCUCCUGGUGUGAACAGUGUUGUCGUCGAGGGAUUGAUCCAAGCCAUUCUUUAUUCAUUAUAUUAGAUGCUUUGCUUAUUCUAGCUCUAGGGAAUAAAAUGGGCAAUGCAGUAGACAUUUAUAUCGAAUUGUUAGGACGUAUUUGGGAUUAUUUGCAUAUUAUGCAUGUUUGGAAGCGUGUGGACUUGGAGAUGGUAUUUGGACUAUUGUUUUAAACAUUUUGAUGCUUAUAUGACUAGGUGAAUGAAGCGUGAUGUUUAGUGAUUAA